rnacentral:lncRNA from 1 species
AUAUAUAUAUAUAUAGAGAGAGAGAGAGAGAGAGAGAGAGAGAGAGAGAGAGUCCGGCUACUAUACUAUCGAUAGUACCGAGCUUUUGGUACUAUUGAGUUUUCUACCGUUACAUCUACUUUUUGAUCAUUUUUACCUGUUAGAUUAUACUAUUAAAUCAACCACCCACUCAACUCUAGGGAGACCACUAUAUAUAUAUAUAAUUGAGUUCCUAUACUUUUAAAAGUACCAAGUUAUUGGUACUUGUAGAUUUUUAGCCAUUGGAUUAAGAGAUAUGCGGUUAGGAUGAUGUGAGCCCCCUAGGGUUGAGUGGGUAGUUGGUUGAAUAGUAUAAUCUAAUGGUUGAAAAUGAUCCAAUGAGUAGAUCUAGUACGGUAAGAAACUUAUAAGCACCAAGUGCUUUGUGCUUUUACAAGCACCAUAGCUGGACUCUCUCUCUCUCUCUCUCUCUCUAUCUUUCUCUCUCUCUCUCUCUCUCUCUCUCUCUCUCUAUAUAUAUAUAUAUAUAUAUAUAUAUAUAUAGUCCGGCUACUAUACUAUCGAUAGUACCAAGCUCUUGGUACUAUUGAGUUUUCUACCGUUAGAUCUACUCUUUGAUCAUAUUCACCCGUUAGAUUAUACUAUUAAAUCAACCACCCACUCAAGGGGACCACUAUCAAUUUAACCAUGGACAACUAUCAUCCUAACCACACAUCCUUUUCUCUAACGACCGAAAACUCAAUAGUACAAAAGAUUUGGUACUAUUGAUAGUAUAAUAGCAUAAUACCACACAUCUUUUCAUCUAACGGCCGAAAACUCAAUAGUACCAAAGGCUUGGUACUAUUGAUAGCAUAGUAGCAUAUAUAUAUAUAUAUAUAUAUAGUUAGGCUGGUAUACUAUCGGUAGUAUUGAGGCCUCCGUAUAACCAAGUUAUUUUUAUUGAUGAGGCUUCCAAAUCGAUGAUUGACUCUGUUAGACUUGAUCUACACUGUUAAAAGUAUUUGGAAACUAAAUUUUAUAAUUUUUCGGUAUCAUUACCUAUUAAACGAGUAGUCUAAGAAUGAACGACUGAAAAUAAAAGUUUCGUAAAAAAUAAUGAUAAAAGAUUUGAAUUUAAAAUCAGAGCUACUGAUCUUACUCUAAAUAGUGAAAAAAAACUUCAAUAGAAAUUUCAUUAGAUUUGAAUUGUUUUACACCGUUAAAUUAAUUCACAAACACAUCACAUCUACCAUUAAAAUUAUCAAUUUAACUUGAGACUUUUUGAUCACUAUCGAGAUGAAGUCGAAAAAUUAUGAAAUUUAGUUUCCAAAUACUUUCAAUAAUGUAGAUCAAGUCUAACGGAGCCGAUAGUCGAUUUGGAAGCCGUAUUAUUGAAAACAACUUGGUAGCACGAAAGCCUCCGUGCUAUCGAUAGUAUCAGAACUGCAAAUUCUCCGAAUGUAUAAGCAUCAUUACAAUCAACGAACCUG